CCCUUAGAUGUUCUGGGCCGCACGCGUGCUACACUGAGUGGAUCAGCGGGUCAGGUUGCGCGAAAGCGUUUCCUAAUCUUUAAAUCCGCUCGUGAUGGGGAUUGACGGUUGCAAUUUUCUGUCAUGAACGAGGAAUACCUUGUAAGCGCGGGUCAUCAUCCCGCGCUGAAUACGUCCCUGCCCUUUGUACACACCGCCCGUCGCUCCUACCGAUUGAGUGAUCCGGUGAGGCUUUGGGAUCUGAGCGGAAAGAGCGUUUCGCUGUUUCUGCUCGGAAAACUCAGUCGAACCUUAUCAUUUAGAGGAAGGAGAAGUCGUAACA
rnacentral:rRNA from 1 species